CGCUGGAAGUCACGCUCCGUCACGAGGUGCGCGCCGCUGCGCACCUCUUCCGCGCAGGUCCGAGUAGGCGCGGACUUGGUCCUGGCGGGGCAUCCUGUGCGCGGCGCGAGUGCAUUUUUUUAGGGUCAUGCAGCCCCAUGAGAAACCCCGCUGUGAAGUGCUGUACGGCAAAAGGUCUUCACACCACAGAUAAUAUUAGGAAAGAAAGAAGUAUGUGCUGUUGCAGAAUAAACGGCCAGCCACAGCCAGAUUCAAUAGCCCAGUGUUCAGAGGACACCAAGCUCUGGUGCAGAGGCCACGACUGGAGGGAAGGACCUUGCCUCUGGACAAUCAGCCAGCAUCACUAGAACACACCUUCAAUUCUCCAGCUAUGGUGGCUCUGACAACCCAUACUCUAACUUUCUAAUCCUUCUUCUUCUUAGACUUUAGAACCCAAGGCUGGCAGGAAGCUGUAGACCAGCCAUACCAAUACAAUCCUUCCCCACCCCCCUUUUUUCAUUCAGAGAAGAAGGCAAUGCCAGAAAAAAAGGGAGUGACUUCCCCAAGGUGACUCACCUCAAGCCCUUUUUCAUAAUAGGAAGGAGCAUGAUGGAUGGAUGGAUGGAUGGAUGGAUGGAUGGAUGGAUGGAUGGAUGGUACUAUGGCCAGGACUAAUAUUCAAUAAUACUCUGUGUAGUUAUGGCAGAGGCUCUUAGUGCUCUGGGCCACCAUUGCAGCCAUGAAGUCUAUUUCCAUGCACACUCACAAUGCCCUACCUCAAGCACCUUACCCCUUUUUAUGCCUCAUAUCUUUCUCCAAAACUGCAGAACCUCACUCAGGCUAAAUGCAGAGAACCCUUGAAGUGCAGAGGAGUCAGCAUCCCCAGGGGUAACCCUCUGUGAUGAAGGUUGAAAAUCAGGACUUAAAUGCCCCAACCUUCGAAGGAACAGUUCUGAGAUGAAUUCUAUAUGAUUCCUCAGAGUUUCACCAGCAGGAUUGGGGCCCACCUAUCCACAGCGGUAAUCAACUCACACCCUUACUGGCUUUUCUCAGUUUCCUGUCUUGUUCUCCCCAUUCCCUCAGUUCUGCUUCCUGGGAUUCUCUUCCCCAAAAAAACUACCUUCACUCAAGUCCUGUCUCAGCUCUGUUUUUAGGAGAGCACAGAUUAAGACACUGGUCAAACUGGUCUACUUCUCGUCCCCUCAAAGGAAGAUGCUUUUAUUUACUUAUAUAUAUGUUCAUUCCUUCAUUCCAGGGGAAUUCAAGGCUCAGAGUGGUUAAAGAAUCUUCCCAAAUUCACGAGACAAUAAGUGACAUUGCUGUGCUGGGUGGAUACCAACUCAUAGGACAGUUCUCAAUCAUGGAAUCUCCUAGCUGGAAGGACUCUCAGAAUUAUCUAAUGUGGUGUUCUCACACUAUUACUACAUUCCCAAGAGUCUUUAUAGACUUUUAUUUCCUAAUCACUGCCCCCAUGAAAUACCACAGCUUUAUGGUAUAUUCGUUUAUGCGCUGUGCGCGUGCAUGUGUGUGUAUGCGCGUGUGUUUGGCUAGAUAUUCUUUUGGAGAUUGUUGACAUUUUUUUUCCUUUUCAGCACUUGAAAUAAUUGUUGAUGGAUUGAGUAACUUUGUAGAAUGAAAUCGUAAAAUAUAAACUAUUUUGAUUUAAUUCUCAAAACCCAAGUCACACAUAAAAGCAUUGAGAAAUAAACAUAAACAAUACCCACAAGGCAGCAAAUGACAGCCAACAGGCACGCACAAGCCAUCUCUGGUGAUAGGACUUUUUUUUUCCAGAGAAGAAGGGAGAGGGAGAGAGAGAUAGAAACUUCAAUGAUGAGAGAGAAUCAUUGGUUGGCUGCCUUCUGCACACCCCCUACUGGGGAUCAAGCUCGAAACUCAAGCAUGUGCCCUGAUCAGGAAUGCAACCGUGAUCUACUGGGUCAUAGGUCGACGCUCAACCACUAAGCCACAUCGGCCAGGCGGUGAUAGAAUUUUCUGAUGGAGCAAGUGAUGAAGAAGAAGCCCUCCAAUCACAGCCAUCUCUUCAACAUCAUUUUGUAGCACUGAUCUUGCAAGCAUUUUGUGCAUCUCCAUGAACUUAAUAUCAAUGGUGUUCAUUGGAUCAAAGAAACUCUGAUGAGGGAAAGUAACACUAAGGAAUAAGAAUUUUUAGGAUUGAGCUUUCGAGGGCCACAAACCAUGGUAAUAGCUAAGAUUUGUUUGCCUUCCGAAGAACCAAUUUCCACCCCGUUGGGCGUGAUGAGAAUGAAUGAGGUAGUCCAACAACAUGAGUUUACAGGUUAGAAGGACAUGGAGGGCGAGAGCAGGAACGGUCACACAGAGGGAACACACAGAGCUGGAAUGAACAGAGCCCAUUUUAUGUCACUCAAAAACCUCGCUCACCAGUCAAUAUGAAUUGGGCCUAGCCGCAGCCAGUCUUUGCGCUCCCUGGCUUUCCAUUUUUGUUGGGAAAAACAAUCUUUAUUUUGCUGUGGAAUAUACAGUGAUUAUUAAGCUGUGUUACAGUUGCCUCCUUGACCCAAUUUCCGCCGUGGCAUAUAAAAGCAGAGAGCUAAUUAUAUGAUAGCUAUUACCUGGAAAUUAUAUGUUUAUUGGUUUUCCACUAGCGGAUACUACUAUUUUUGUACUUUUCACUGUUCUGCUCAGUGACAGGAGUCACACUGUCUCUCUUCCAAACGUUCCUUCCAAUCUCACGAUUAGCAGAGGUUUUAAAUGGAGCACUGCCAGCAGCACGGCACACCUUGGGGUAGGGGAGGGAGCCUGUUGACUCAGUCCAUGCAGG